CUGAGUCCUUUCUGAGAGUUCUCAGUUGGGUUUGGUUGCAUCUGUUUCCUGAAGGCAUCAGUGCAGAGAGACAACAUGCAGGGAACAGUGGAAUGGGCUUCCCAGAAACACUUGGUCUACCAGGAGACACUCUGACGCACACACCACGACCUGGCUGGGAUCAGCAAGGCCUCAUCCUGCCGUUACUAUACCUGCACACACCUAUGCAGGCACGCAGUGAGAGGCCUUGGCAUUUCAACCACCACAACAAGGCUGUGACCUUUGCAGCCAUCUCCACCUCCUGCCAUCCCUACUGGGUUUUGAAGGGACUGAAGCCUGUUGUUUUCGUUUGUAGCACUUCAUUCGAAGGAUACCUACAAGGAUUUCAUAUCCCGUUCCUAAGCAGUACACGUUUAUAUAUGUGUUAACAGCACACUGCUGCUAAUAUACUGCAACCCACAAGGGUACAUGAAGACGCAAUGGCUAAAUGUGGUGUAAGUUUCGGGAAGCAUCUGGUUUUGAACAUGAUUGGAUGUAUAAACAGUUUGUGAUGUGAUCUGAGAACAGCUUGAUCAUAAACAUAUGUCCAGACCAGUACAUACUGUAUGGUUAUUCAGUUAGGGGGGGAAUUCAGACCCGAGAUUAAGCGCGUGUAAAUGGAACAUAAUUCCUUUUGAAUGCGCUUUUCUCUCUAUGUGUAUUCUGACCUUGAAUUUAAGCAUGAGAAUAGCAUGCCAUUCACACGCUAUUCGUUUGAGGUGGAGCUGGAUUAAAUGAAGGUGUGGCAGAGGUGUGUCUACAGAUACACUGUAUUCUGACCUCGACUUAACCCUCCCGUUGUGUUCGUUUCAUGUUAAUUAAUUAUGCAUUCCCGGUCCAAAAUGACCGCCCCAUUAUAGCUGAUUAUAAAUCCAUAAUAAUUCAUAUAUUAUCACCUAGUGUUGCGUUAGAUCUUUUUAUCAACUUAAGUUCUUCUGAACAGUUCUUGUGUUCAUUCUUGUGAACAAGUUUUGAACUUCUAUUUGCUAUUUAUGACCUGUAGGCCUCAUUGACCUGAGCUCAUACAACUAAUUUUUGAGUAAAAAAAAGUAUAAUGUAUGGAUUAUUUUGAC